rnacentral:tRNA from 1 species
UCCUUGGUGGCUGAGAGGUAAAGACUCUGCCUGCAAGGCAGGAGACUCAGGUUCGAUCCCUGGUUUGGGAA